rnacentral:sRNA from 1 species
CAGACGGUUGAUGAUGAAGCGCCGGCCGUGUAAAUGAAGAUCGGGUGAGCAGCAGGACGAUGCCCAAGGGUGGGUGCCCUAAAGCACCACAGCAGGAAGAGCUUCCCCUCAGCAGCGACAUGGUGGAGAAGCAGACUGGGAAAAAGGAUAAAGAUAAAGUUUCUCUAACCAAGACCCCAAAACUGGAGCGUGGCGAUGGCGGGAAGGAGGUGAGGGAGCGAGCCAGCAAGCGGAAGCUGCCCUUCACUGCGGGCGCCAAUGGGGAGCAGAAGGACUCGGACACAGAGCGCUGGGCAAGAGCCCGUCCCAGGACCAGGCCUCUGUAAGGGCUGUGGGUGCAGCAAGGAGUGGGAAGGCACCUGCCAUGUCCCGGCCCCAAGACAGCUCUGCCCACCGAGCCCUCUCAGACCAG